GAUGAACGCUGGCGGCGUGCCUAAUACAUGCAAGUCGAGCGAACAGACGAGGAGCUUGCUCCUUCGACGUUAGCGGCGGACGGGUGAGUAACACGUAGGUAACCUACCUAUAAGACUGGGAUAACUUCGGGAAACCGGAGCUAAUACCGGAUAACAUUUCGAUCCGCAUGGUUCGAUAGUGAAAGAUGGCUUUGCUAUCACUUAUAGAUGGACCUGCGCCGUAUUAGCUAUUUGGUAAUGUAACGGCUUACCAGGGAAACGAUACGUAGCCGACCUGAGAGGGUGAUCGGCCACACUGGAUCAGAGACACGGUCCAGACUCCAACGGGAGGCAGCAGUGGAGAAUCUGGCGCAGUGGGCGAAAGCCUGACGGAGCAGCGCCGCGUGAGUGGUGAAGGUCUUCGGCGCGUAGAACUCUGUUAUUAGGAAAGAACAUGCGUGUAAGUAACUGUGCACGUCUUGCCGGUACCUAAUCAAAAAGCCACGGCUACCUACUU
rnacentral:rRNA from 1 species